rnacentral:rRNA from 1 species
GAUGAACGCUGACAGAAUGCUUAACACAUGCAAGUCUUUGGCGAAGCUGUGCUUGCACAGCCUAGCCAAGGCGGACGGGUGAGUAACGCGUAAGGAACUUGCCCUGCAGUCAGGGAUAACAGACGGAAACGACUGAUAAGACCUGGUAAAGUCAGGCGGACUCAUGUCCAGCCUGAUGAAAAGAGAUGCUGCAGGAGAGCCUUGCGUCCUAUUAGCUUGUUGGUGGGGUAACGGCCCACCAAGGCGAUGAUAGGUAGCCGGCCUGAGAGGGUGGACGGCCACAAGGGGACUGAGAUACGGCCCGUACUCCUACGGGAGGCAGCAGUGGGGAAUAUUGGACAAUGGGGGCAACCCUGAUCCAGCAAUUCUGUGGGCACGAUGAAGGUUUUCGGAUUGUAAAGUGCUUGCAGCAGGGAAGAAAAAAUGACGGUACCUGCAGAAGAAGCGACGGCUAAAUACGUG